UACGUAGGAGACGAGCGUUGUCCGGAGUUACUGGGCGUAAAGGGUGCGCAGGCGGCCUGGCGCGUCGCGAGUGAAAUCUCCUGGCUCAACUGGGAGGGUGGUCGCGAGACGGGUGGGCUUGAGGCUCGGUGAGGGGAGUGGAAUUCCGGGUGGAGCGGUGAAAUGCGUAGAGAUCCGGAGGAACACCGACGGCGUAGGCAGCGCGCUAGACGAGACCUGACGCUCAGGCACGAAAGCGCGGGGAGCGAACAGG
rnacentral:rRNA from 1 species